AUACGGAGGAAAAGAAACCAACAGGGAUUGCCUUAGUAGCGGCGAGUGAAGCGGCAAAAGCUCAAAUUUGAAAUCUGGCACUUUCAGUGUCCGAGUUGUAAUUUGAAGAAGGUAUCUUUGGGUCUGGCUCUUGUCUAUGUUUCUUGGAACAGAACGUCACAGAGGGUGAGAAUCCCGUGCGAUGAGAUGACCCAGACCUAUGUAAAGUUCCUUCGAAGAGUCGAGUUGUUUGGGAAUGCAGCUCUAAGUGGGUGGUAAAUUCCAUCUAAAGCUAAAUAUUGGCGAGAGACCGAUAGCGAACAAGUACAGUGAUGGAAAGAUGAAAAGAACUUUGAAAAGAGAGUGAAAAAGUACGUGAAAUUGUUGAAAGGGAAGGGCUUGAGAUCAGACUUGGUAUUUUGUAUGUUACUCUUUCGGGGGUGGCCUCUACAGUUUACCGGGCCAGCAUCAGUUUGGGCGGUAGGAGAAUUGCAAAGAAAUGUGGCACUGCCUCGGUAGUGUGUUAUAGUCUUUGUCGAUACUGCCAGCCUAGACUGAGGACUGCGGCUUCGGCCUAGGAUGUUGGCAUAAUGAUCUUAAGUCGCCCGUCUUGAACAACGGAACCAGAA
rnacentral:rRNA from 1 species